rnacentral:ncRNA from 1 species
AAAAAACAUCGGCAAAACUGUGGAAACGCAGUGGCGCAAAGCUACAGGGGCUUCGGCAAACUUGCCAUGCUAGCCAGUUGCAGGU